rnacentral:tRNA from 1 species
GUGGGGCUGUAGCUCAGUGGUAGAGCGCCUACCUUGCAAGUAUGAGGCACUGGGUUCGAUCCUCAGCACCACA